GGAAGCCGGUGUGGUCCGGCAUGGUGUACUGACUCUUGCCGGUACGCCGUAUCGGACCCUACCGGCUUACUUUCACCUCUGUGUACAAGGCAAGAGAAAUU